AAGCACGGCUUCGCAGCGCACAUACGGGGAGCUUGCUCCCAGUCAUGCUGCGGGGAAAGUCCC
rnacentral:RNase_MRP_RNA from 13 species